AUCCAGUGGCAGUAUCGUAGCCAAUGAGGUUUAUCCGAGGCGCGAUUAUUGCUAAUUGAAAAUCCAGAAUAAUCUCCCUAUUUCAUAGUCAACUGAAUAGCAACCUUAAUCCUACCAGCAAUAUCGCCUCACAGCAGAAUCUAGG